rnacentral:lncRNA from 1 species
GUAGCUGGUGCUUGCAGCGAGGCCAAGUGAUUGAUGGUGCUCUGAAGUAUCCAUUCUCCAUCCAAGUGGCUGACAGGACACACAGUGGCGUGCUAAAAGCCAUGGUGGAAGCAGUUCGUCGGAAGGAACCAGUUUUUGGCAUCAAGGGGCCAUCAACUCUUGUCAAGCUGCAAGGCUUUGAUCUUGUGUAGGGCCUACCUCCUGACUACAUGCAUUGCGUGUUGGAAGGCGUCACAAAGCAGGUCACCGAAAUGUGGCUAUCAGCUGCCAAUUCUUCUUGUUACAUCGGGAGACAUUUGAAGCUGAUAGAUUCAAGGUUGCGCUUGAUAAAGCCACCCAUCAUCUUUUCAA